rnacentral:rRNA from 2 species
ACCUUCGGGCCUCUUGCCAUCGGAUGUGCCCAGAUGGGAUUAGCUAGUAGGUGGGGUAACGGCUCACCUAGGCGACGAUCCCUAGCUGGUCUGAGAGGAUGACCAGCCACACUGGAACUGAGACACGGUCCAGACUCCUACGGGAGGCAGCAGUGGGGAAUAUUGCACAAUGGGCGCAAGCCUGAUGCAGCCAUGCCGCGUGUAUGAAGAAGGCCUUCGGGUUGUAAAGUACUUUCAGCGGGGAGGAAGGCGACAGGGUUAAUAACCCUGUCGAUUGACGUUACCCGCAGAAGAAGCACCGGCUAACUCCG